rnacentral:lncRNA from 1 species
AUGAAAUUAAUCAAGGUGCUGAUCUCCAUUCUCCUUUUCUGCGCCGCGGUGAUCUAUCCGUGUGAAUCACGCGACGCCGCAGCCGAUUUCCAAGACGAUGCCCACAGUCACUCCCCGACCAACCACGAGAGGCAGUCCAGGGCUCCUGGGCUCGCGCACCCUCAGCGAUACUCGUCCAGCUACAGGAUGAGGAGGGUAGACACCCCGACGGAUACCAACUCGAGUCAUCUGACGGUGGUGCAUGACAUUCGGUCGAUUCUGGAAAAGAGUCGGGUCUACGGGGCGCAGCUGGGCGACUGGCUCGAGAACCUGGGUUUCCUCCCGGUCACCAUCAACAUCCCCGAUGUCCUCGCCGGGCUUUACAGCUGGAUCCCUAACAAUGCCGCCGGCUCCACGCCCCGGAAACUCAUUAAGAUGCUCUCCAAGAUGUACAAGGAGAUCACCACUAACUCCGACCUCAAGGACGAGCUCAAGGUCAUCUCCGAGCACGCCUCGGAGUUCGAGUCCGGCUUCAAGACCUUCUGGGAUGCCAUCGACUUCUCCGAGGAGUUCGAGGCUAUCGUCAAGUACAUCUCCAAAUAA